UACGUAGGGGGCAAGCGUUGUCCGGAAUUAUUGGGCGUAAAGAGCGUGUAGGCGGCCAGGUAGGUCUGCUGUGAAAACUCGAGGCUCAACCUCAAGCUGUCGGUGGAAACCAUCUGGCUAGAGUCCGGAAGAGGAGAAUGGAAUUCCUGGUGUAGCGGUGAAAUGCGCAGAUAUCAGGAAGAACACCCGUGGCGAAGGCGGUUCUCUGGGACGGUACUGACGCUGAGACGCGAAAGCGUGGGGAGCAAACAGG
rnacentral:rRNA from 1 species